CAUGCAUUUUUUUAUGCAAGAUAAGAAGGCAGGGGGAUCUCCAGGAAACAUCUCAUGGGAUUGUAUUUAUGACGUCCAGUGUUUCCUAAGCUAAAGGAGGUUAUAAAGACAGGUCAGUUUGUCCGACUACGUGAUGGUGUUAUUCCAUCCCUCUUCAGCUUCCCGGUUGACCUCCAAACAGUAGUUGGUAAAGGACAGUGGUACGUCUACCUCCAGAAGAGCUGAAGAAAGCCUG